GCCCCCGUAGCUCAGCUGGUUAGAGCACCGGACUUUUAAUCCGGGUGUCGUCGGUUCAAGUCCGACCGGGGGUA
rnacentral:tRNA from 1 species